rnacentral:pre_miRNA from 1 species
ACCCGUCCCGUGCGUCCCCGGACGUCGCUCUCCGGCCCGGGAACUUCGAGACUGGAGC